rnacentral:rRNA from 1 species
AAGUCGUAACAAGGUUUCCGUAGGNGAACCUGCGGAAGGAUCAAUAUCGAAUAAACUUGAACAGGCUGUUGNUGGCUUCCUCCCAGAGGUGUGUGCACGCUUGUCAUCUUUAUCUUCUCCAACUGUGCACCUUUUGUAGACCUGGAGGUUUUUUGAUUUGCUCGAUUGAGGUUUUGCUGUGNUUUGAAAAAAGUCGGCUUGCCUUGCAUUUCCAGGUCUAUGCUAUUUUUCACAACCUCUUGUUCAGAAUGUUGAAAUUGGGUAUCAUCUUGUACCUAUAUAAAGUUGAAUAUACAACUUUCAGCAACGGAUCUCUUGGCUCUCGCAUCGAUGAAGAACGCAGCGAAAUGCGAUAAGUAAUGUGAAUUGCAGAANUCAGUGAAUCAUCGAAUCUUUGAACGCAUCUUGCGCUCCUUGGUAUUCCGAGGAGCAUGCCUGUUUGAGUGUCAUUUAACUUCUCAACCACAAUCAAUUUCUUUGGUCGUGGCUUGNAUGAUGGGGGUUUUAUUUUUUUGCAGGCUUUGGAAACAAGGNCUGCUCCCCUGAAAUGCAUUAGUGGUAUCUGAGCAGUAACUACUACAGGUGUGAUAAUUUAUCUAUGCCUUUGGNNACCACUGCGUGAACAGAUUACACUGCUUCUGAAAUCAUGUUUUGACAAAUUUGACCUCAAAUCAGGUAGGACUACCCGCUGANCUUAAGCAUAUCAAUAAGCGGAGGAAANGAAACUACANGGAUUCCCCUAGUAACUGCGAGUGAAGCGGGAAAAGCUCAAAUUUGAAAUCUGGCGNUCCCUUGACUGUNCGAGUUGUAAUCUAGAGAAGUGUUACCUGUGCUGGACCGUGUACAAGUCUCCUGGAAUGGAGCAUCAUAGAGGGUGAGAAUCCCGUCUUUGACAUGGACUACCUGUACGUUGUGGUGCGCUCUCAAAGAGUCGAGUUGUUUGGGAAUGCAGCUCAAAAUGGGUGGUAAAUGCCAUCUAAAGCUAAAUAUUGGCGAGAGACCGAUAGCGAACAAGUACCGUGAGGGAAAGAUGAAAAGAACUUUGGAAAGAGAGUUAAACAGUACGUGAAAUUGCUGAAAGGGAAACGCUUGAAGUCAGUCACGUUGGCUAGAAAUCANCCUUGCUUUUGCUUGGUGUACUUUCUGGUUGACGGGUCAGCAUCAAUUUUGACCAUUGGAUAAAGUCUUUGGGAAUGUGGCAUCCUUUUGGAUGUGUUAUAGCCCAUUGUCGGAUACGGUGGUUGGGAUUGAGGAACUCAGCAUGCCGCAAGGCCGGGUCAUUUUUGACCACGCUCGUGCUUAGGAUGCUGGCAUAAUGGCUUUAAUUGACC